rnacentral:rRNA from 1 species
AUUGAACGCUGGCGGCAGGCCUAACACAUGCAAGUCGAACGGUAACAGGAAGAAGCUUGCUUCUUUGCUGACGAGUGGCGGACGGGUGAGUAAUGUCUGGGAAACUGCCUGAUGGAGGGGGAUAACUACUGGAAACGGUAGCUAAUACCGUAUAACGUCGCAAGACCAAAGAGGGGGACCUUCGGGCCUCUUGCCAUCGGAUGUGCCCAGAUGGGAUUAGCUAGUAGGUGGGGUAACGGCUCACCUAGGCGACGAUCCCUAGCUGGUCUGAGAGGAUGACCAGCCACACUGGAACUGAGACACGGUCCAGACUCCUACGGGAGGCAGCAGUGGGGAAUAUUGCACAAUGGGCGCAAGCCUGAUGCAGCCAUGCCGCGUGUAUGAAGAAGGCCUUCGGGUUGUAAAGUACUUUCAGCGGGGAGGAAGGGAGUAAAGUUAAUACCUUUACUCAUUGACGUUACCCGCAGAAGAAGCACCGGCUAACUCCGUG